GGAUGUGAGGGCCAUCUGGCUGCAACGUCUGUCACCCCAUUGAUAGCCAGGGUUGAUUUGGCUGAUCUGUCUUGAGUAGAUGGUUGUCCCGUUCCUCCCUUACCAUUCCAUGUGCAUCCCUCCCAAAGCCGUGCUCUUGUCGACAAUGAUGACCAUCCCUGAUAAAGAAGGACUGGUCUUUGGUCAGGUGUAUACCAGUAGAUGUUCUCCCCUGCUAGAACAUCCAAACAAGCUCUCAAGGUCCAUUCAAUGGGGGAAGUAGGAUAGUCAAGCUUCGAAGACUCCAGACAUAUCCAAAGGAGGGGAUGCAUGUGGCAUUCUGCCUUUCUAA
rnacentral:snRNA from 1 species